CCUACGGGAGGCAGCAGUGAGGAAUAUUGGUCAAUGGCCGGAAGGCUGAACCAGCCAAGCCGCGUGAAGGACGAAGGUGCCAAGCAUUGUAAACUUCUUUUGUCAAGGGACAAAAUCAGGCUCGAGAGCCUGACCGAGGGUACUUGAAGAAAAAGCAUCGGCUAACUCCGUGCAAGCAGCCACGGUAAUACGGAGGAUGCGAGCGUUAUCCGGAUUUAUUGGGUUUAAAGGGUGCGUGGGCGGGCUGUUAAGUCAGCGGUAAAAGCCCGGGGCUCAACCCCGGCGAGCCGUUGAAACUGGCUGUCUUGAGAUGUCGAAGGGAAUGCGGAAUGCGCGGUGUAGCGGUGAAAUGCUUAGAUAUUGCGCAGAACUCCGAUUGCGAAGGCAGGAUACCGGCGGCGAUCUGACGCUGAGGCACGAAAGCGUGGGUAUCGAACAGGAUUAGAUACCCCUGUAGUC
rnacentral:rRNA from 1 species